rnacentral:misc_RNA from 1 species
GAUGAAGAACGUAGUGAAAUGCGAUAAGUAGUGUGAAUUGCAGAAUUCAGUGAAUCAUCGAAUCUUUGAACGCACAUUGCGCCCCCUGGUAUUCCGGGGGGCACGCCUGUUCGAGCGUCAUUUCAACCCUCAAGCCCCCGGCUUGACGUUGGGCGCGGCCCCUCCCUCGGGGGGGGCCCGCCUGAAACCCCUCGGCGUCGCCGUCCGUCCCAGAGCGCAGCGAGUUUUCUGCCCGCGCUACUGGACCGGGCCGCUGGCCGCCGGUGAAUCCAUUUUCUCAAGGUUGACCUCGGAUCAGGUGGGGAUACCCGCUGAACUUAAGCAUAUCAAUAAGCGGAGGA